AGAUUAUCUGUUACUCACGAUGCACUAUGCUGUGAUCUAAUGCACUGCAGCAUACUGUAGAACUAAACACAAUAUAAGGUCUGCUAAAAUGUCAUCGGGAACAGUUAAUCUAUUCUGCUAAGUAAAAUGCAAUAAAUGAUGAUUUGGUGAUUUCACAUCAAACACGCUUGCAUAUACAACUGAGAGCUAGAGAUGGGAGACUCUAGCGCUACCACUGGCAGUCCCCAGAGCGGUCCCACAGAUUAUGAUUAUCUCAUGAAGUUUCUUGCUCUAGGUGACUCUGGAGUUGGGAAAACAAGCUUCUUGUACCAAUACACAGACAAUGCAUUCAACUCAAAGUUUAUAUCAACAGUAGGGAUCGACUUUAGGGAAAAGAGAGUGGUGCACAGGAUGCCGGGACAGGAUGGAAGUGUAGGUAGAAGUCAGAGAAUACACAUACAGCUAUGGGACACUGCUGGCCAAGAGAGGUUUCGUAGUCUAACAACAGCAUUCUUCCGAGAUGCAAUGGGCUUUCUAUUGAUAUUUGAUCUGAGUAACGAACAGUCAUUUCUCAACCUGCGUAACUGGAUAGCACAGCUGCAGACGCAUGCAUACUGCGAGAAUCCCGAUAUUGUACUGUGUGGGAACAAGGUCGACCUGGAGGCACAGAGAGCAAUCACUGAAGAGGCUGCCAAAGAAUUUGCCGAAAAACAUGGGUUACCAUACUUUGAGACAAGUGCCGCCACUGGCCAAAAUGUGGCAAAAUCUGUGGAACUAUUAUUGGACAAUGUCAUGUUACGGAUGGAGAAAUCUGUUGACAAGUCAAUUCUUCCUGGCAUGAGAAAUGGUGCAAAUCUUUCACAAUAUGAGGAGGAGGAAAAUAAAUCUAAAUGUUCCUGUUAGUAUUUAAAGGCCCUGUGUAUUGUUGAAAGUAUUUGAAGUAUUUGGCUAGCAUGGUAGAUGUAAUCUCUGUAGCAUUGGAGGAGGAACUAGUUACUGCAGCCAGUUUAGAACACUUAAAGAAUUACCUUGCACUUGGUUGAAAAUCCAUUUAGACACAGGGCACAUUACCAGAAGAUUCCAUAAGUUGAAGAUUUUAAGUCUGUUGUCCAUUUACUAUGAUAUUAUUUUUCAUUGUUAAACAAUGUAUUUUGUUGUUAAGAAUGUUUUGGUAAUGUAGCCUUGUGUAGAAUUUAUGCUAUCAUUUAAAGGGCAAUAUAUUUGAA
rnacentral:misc_RNA from 1 species